rnacentral:rRNA from 1 species
GAUGAACGCUGGCGGCGUGCCUAAUACAUGCAACUCGAGCGAACAGACGAGGAGCUUGCUCCUCUGACGUUAGCGGCGGACGGGUGAGUAACACGUGGAUAACCUACCUAUAAGACUGGGAUAACUUCGGGAAACCGGAGCUAAUACCGGAUAAUAUAUUGAACCGCAUGGUUCAAUAGUGAAAGACGGUUUUGCUGUCACUUAUAGAUGGAUCCGCGCCGCAUUAGCUAGUUGGUAAGGUAACGGCUUACCAAGGCAACGAUGCGUAGCCGACCUGAGAGGGUGAUCGGCCACACUGGAACUGAGACACGGUCCAGACUCCUACGGGAGGCAGCAGUAGGGAAUCUUCCGCAAUGGGCGAAAGCUUGACGGAGCAACGCCGCGUGAGUGAUGAAGGUCUUCGGAUCGUAAAACUCUGUUAUUAGGGAAGAACAAAUGUGUAAGUAACUAUGCACGUCUUGACGGUACCUAAUCAGAAAGCCACGGCUAACUACGUG